rnacentral:rRNA from 1 species
UCCUACGGGAGGCAGCAGUGGGGAAUAUUGGGCAAUGGGCGCAAGCCUGACCCAGCAACGCCGCGUGAAGGAGGAAGGCUUUCGGGUUGUAAACUUCUUUUGUCGGGGACGAAACAAAUGACGGUACCCGACGAAUAAGCCACGGCUAACUACGUGCCAGCAGCCGCGGUAAUACGUAGGUGGCAAGCGUUAUCCGGAUUUACUGGGUGUAAAGGGCGUGUAGGCGGGAUUGCAAGUCAGAUGUGAAAACUGGGGGCUCAACCUCCAGCCUGCAUUUGAAAC